rnacentral:tRNA from 3 species
UCCCCUGUAGCUCAAUGGCAGAGCAGGUCGCUGUUAACGACAAGGUUGUAGGUUCGAAUCCUACCGGGGGAGCCA